CCUACGGGCGGCAGCAGUGGGGAAUAUUGGACAAUGGGCGAAAGCCUGAUCCAGCCAUGCCGCGUGUGUGAAGAAGGCCUUCGGGUUGUAAAGCACUUUCAGUGGGGAAGAAAGCCUUGGGGCUAAUACCCUCGAGGAAGGACAUCACCCACAGAAGAAGCACCGGCUAACUCCGUGCCAGCAGCCGCGGUAAUACGGAGGGUGCGAGCGUUAAUCGGAAUUACUGGGCGUAAAGCGCGCGUAGGCGGUCUGAUAAGCCGGUUGUGAAAGCCCCGGGCUCAACCUGGGAACGGCAUCCGGAACUGUCAGGCUAGAGUGCAGGAGAGGAGGGUAGAAUUCCCGGGGUAGCGGUGAAAUGCGUAGAGAUCGGGAGGAAUACCAGUGGCGAAGGCGGCCUUCUGGACUGACACUGACGCUGAGGUGCGAAAGCGUGGGUAGCAAACAGGAUUAGAUACCUUGUAGUC
rnacentral:rRNA from 1 species